CAGAAAGUAGUUUAAUGAAGAUUCCAGCUUUGGGAGUUGGCGAUAAAGGUUUGAUUCCUUUCUUUCUGA
rnacentral:tRNA from 1 species